rnacentral:rRNA from 1 species
AUGAUGGAGAGCGAGACCCCACCCACCUCUCUGCCUCAUGAAGCGGGCGACACCGAAGUGUCGUCACGGAGGAGUCCGGAUCUGCCGAAGCCAGAGGCUAAUACGUUAGCUGCCCUGAGCCCGGAGCAUUUGGCUCCCACGGGGGGUGAUGAGAAGGGUCCGGCACAGUUUGAUGUCUGGCCGGACAUACUGACAGGCCUUCUAGAGCGAGUUGCGCUCUCGGAGGAGCACCGCUCAUUAAUGAGCAUGGUGCUCAAGAAUAUUUCAUCCGCUACAAGCGGUUUGAAUGAAGCAUUUACGAGCCUGCUCAGUGGCUUUGAGGUAUGUAUGGGUCCGGUAGCCGACUAG